UGACCCCUCCAUGCAGGAGCCCAGCCCCCUGCAGCCUGGCUGUGGGACUGACAUGAGCAUGACCAAGUCUCUACAUCCAGCUGCCAAAUCACACAUAAACGAUGGACACAGGAGGACUUGAAAGGGAGGGAUGCCAGCCUUAUGCCCUAGAGAAAAGAUUGUCCAGCCACUCAGACCUCUUCAUUCUCACCUGCCUCCAGGGUUAGUUUUUCUGGGUCUGAAAUACCUGCGCAAUCUUCAGGAUCUGGUGAUUGUUUCCAGGAACAUCCUGGGCCUCACGUGACAUUGCAGUGGGCGGCGGUGAUCACCCAUUUCUCGCUGAUGAGUGAGCCCCCACAGAAAAGGAUUCCAGGGGGAGUCUGUGGAAGAAGAGACUGUCAACCCUGGCAGGACACCAGAAACAACUAUCUGGGUAGCAGCCACCUCACUGUGAGGCUUGUAACCCAGUGUGACCCAAAUCAGGUGCAGACUCCCCUCACCUCCAGAGACACAUGCCAGGGCCAGGAACCAGGUGCAGCGUCCUCCCCAUUGAUGAUCCUGGGUUUAAUGAUCAGCUCCAGUUCACUGGCAGGGGCCCCAGAGCCUGGGGACACAGCAGGAGGGUGAGAGGGUGAGGUCUAGUCAGUCUGCAGAACCCUGGUUGCACCUUCAGCCAGCACAGUGCUAUGUCCACACUCUCCCCUCCUGGCACCCCUGCAUCCAGACUGGAGGACACACACCCCUGCCUGCUGGCCCAGUCACCCUCCCAGGGAUGCAGAGGGACAGGCAGCUCCAUCCGGGUCUCCCAGCCCAGAGGUGCAGAAACAGGCUGAGGAAUCAGGGUACUUGUACCCUUGCUUCUCUGCUGGAGACCUCAGCUCCCUCUGACUCUCCCAGACUCAUUUCCCCACAAAAUGGGGAACAAUCAUUGUUGCCCUCACAUUCAAACUUAUAAAAAUGAUGUUGCGUUUAUGGGGUAUGCAACUGAAACAGAGAACCACAGGUCACUGGAAAUUCCCUUCUGACAGUUUCCUGGUGGGAUGUGACUGUA